rnacentral:rRNA from 1 species
GACGAACGCUGGCGGCGUGCCUAAUACAUGCAAGUCGAACGCAGUGGGGACGGGUGAGUAACACGUGGGUAACCUCCCAUCAGAGGGGAUAACACUUGGAAACAGGUGCUAAACCACUACUGAUGGAUGGACCCGCGGUGCAUUAGCUAUUUGGUGAGGUAACGGCUCACCAAGGGCACGAUGCAUAGCAGACCUGAGAGGGUUAGUGGCCACAAUGGGACGGAGACACGGCCAAGACUACUACGGACGGCAGCAGUAGGGAAUGUUCGGCAAUGGACGAAAAUCUGACCGAGCAACGCAGGGUGAGUGAAGAAGGUUUUCGGAUCGUAAAACUCUGUUGUUAGAGAAGCGGUAUCUAACCAGAAAGCCACGGCUAACUACGUGCCAGCAGCCGCGGUAAUAC